AAACAGUGAGAAUUCUGGCACUUUGUACCCUCUAGGCCAUGGAUAUGCUUGGUCAACCCAAUCAGGAUAUGGCUUUGUGUAAGUCGGUCUAAUGACAGGACGCACCCCAAAGGCCAUCUGAUCCUGCACGAUUUCCAUAAUCUGAUUUCUCAAUAUGACAUUGGGAUCAUAUGGAAUUCCUACAGGCUGAUUAACCGGUUGAUUUGCAUGAGG
rnacentral:lncRNA from 1 species